rnacentral:rRNA from 1 species
GGGGAAUAUUGCACAAUGGAGGAAACUCUGAUGCAGCGACGCCGCGUGAGCGAUGAAGGUCUUCGGAUCGUAAAGCUCUGUCCUAUGGGACGAUAAUGACGGUACCAUAGGAGGAAGCCCCGGCUAACUACGUGCCAGCAGCCGCGGUAAUACGUAGGGGGCGAGCGUUGUCCGGAAUUACUGGGCGUAAAGGGUACGCAGGCGGCCAAGCAAGUCAGAUGUGAAAGGCGUAGGCUCAACCUAUGUAAGCAUUUGAAACUGUUUGGCUUGAGUUAAGGAGAGGAAAGUGGAAUUCCUGGUGUAGCGGUGAAAUGCGUAGAUAUCAGGAAGAAUAUCAGUGGCGAAGGCGACUUUCUGGACUUAUACUGACGCUGAGGUACGAAAGCGUGGGGAGCAAAC